UACAGAGGUGGCAAGCGUUGUUCGGAAUUACUGGGCGUAAAGGGCGCGUAGGCGGCCUUCUCAGUCGGACGUGAAAUCCCCAGGCUUAACUUGGGAACUGCGUCCGAUACUGGAUGGCUUGAGUGCGGGAGAGGGAUGUGGAAUUCCAGGUGUAGCGGUGAAAUGCGUAGAUAUCGGGAGGAACACCAGUGGCGAAGGCGGCGAUCUGGGCAGAUAUUGACGCUGAGGUGCGAAAGCGUGGGGAGCAAACAGG
rnacentral:rRNA from 1 species